rnacentral:tRNA from 1 species
GACUCCGUAGCUCAGUUGGUAGAGCAACUGACUCUUAAUCAGUGGGUCGAGAGUUCGAGCCUCUCCGGGGUCACCC